UUGAUAUAGUUUGAGUUUCAAUCUUGAAAAGUCAUGGCUGGCCUCCAAUAUUACUUCUUUCCGACUGUUUUCUACUACCCUCGCCCUUCAUUGUUGAACGCAAACAAGAACAAGCCGGCGCUUGUUCUUCCAGUGGAGACCGGAAAACGAGACAAAAGCCAUGCUGAAAAUCUUCGUAUAGCCGCCAAUAUGGUUCAAU
rnacentral:lncRNA from 1 species